AAGACAACGGCACGAAGUCGUCAGGUCGUUUUAUUUCUUUUGUUUUAUUUGCGUAUUAAAAAAAGAAAAAAAAAUCCUAAUAAAGAGAACAGAGGGGAGGGGGAAAAGUUUUGAAACUCUUCCCAGCUGUUCCAUAUGGUGGGUGAAGGCUGAAUUUCACGCACGAUGUCUGUGUGCCCUGUGGUGAUGCUGCUACUGCAUCUAUCGGCGAGGAUUACCCCAUCUCCCGAUCGCGUUCUUUAAUGCCAAACCAAAAGAUGAGGGAAUUCCCCACGUCAUUCUCCCCGGCCAAAGAGGUCUGCAGGAAAUCUGAAUUUCUCGCAGAGCCUCUGCUUUUAUUCCUUGCUUUUGGUCCUUUUUGGGCACACUCAAAAGCACAUGCAAGCCCUCCCCUAUAUUAACCGGGAGGUGUUAUUUUAUCGGCGCGGUGUGAAAAAUAUCAGGCUUAUAGCACCCAGUUAAUUACUCUCAAAACUCAUGCGUUUUGGGAAGGAACUCGAGGCCAAAUCCCUAUGAGCUGCUCCUCGUGUGCGUAAUCCCGUCUCCUGCAAAAGCCCUAUUGAUGGCGGCCGCCAGCAUCCAGCCCAACGCGGGACGCCGAGGACGGGCGUUCAUCCAGCACGACAAGGGCUGCUGGAAGAGAUCCCCGCCGGGUACAGCUCCAUCUGCCUCCAACACUGCCUGGGCUCCAUGGACAGACACCACUAUCACCUCGCGAGAGGAGCAGAGGAGUUUACCAACAUACCCUAUUACAUCCUGACGCCAUCAGGCUAACUCUGCCAGCUGCUGCAGCACUCCGAACACAUAAGAUUUGCUCCCAUUUCCCUGGUGCACAGUGAUUCUGGGAAGAGGAAAUGGAAGAUCUGCCCAUUGCCAGCAAAGCGGGAUGUGGCUUUGUGAACAUCACUGGUUUGGCCUCGUGCCUCAGUUUCCCCAGUGUGUGCGGAGAGACUUUUGCCUUUCCAGCAGCACCGUAAUAAGCGAAACAAGUAUAAUAAUAACAUUUACCACUAAUAGCUUUUACGACUAAUAAUUUUGCAGUCCUUAAUGGAAGCAUCUCUAUGGUGAUUCUGCAGGAUUAGGGCAUCCCUUUUGCCCCAAGCAGCCCCUAAGGACGAAGCAACGCCAAGAUCCAGCCGAAAGAACAUGACCAAAGUCAGAGUACAGAGUACAGAAGAGCCAGAAAGUGAGCAGAAGUCAGAGGCUAGCAUGGAAACUGCUACACCAUCUGUCCUCUCUGCUUGCUCGAAAGACUCUUCGCAAUUAGGGCAUAACUGAGUAUACGACAUUGUUUUCCUGCACUGUAUUCAAGCUCCAUUCUCACUCGUUAUAAUGAGCUCAUUAUUGAUUUGUGGAGCUUCCCCUUUGAGCUUCUGUGCCUUUCAAAACACGUAGCCAACGUUCAGGCAAUAAAACGGAUACUCAUGGCAUGCUGUAUAUGUGUCGCAGUGCCUGUCGUAUGUUGUGAUACAUGGGAUAGCCAUCUUCUGCCACUAUUUACAGAAUCAGAGGAGAACAAGGAAGCGAUCAGCAUGGCAAAGCCAAUGAGGCUCCUUCUUAGCAUCACGGUCACAGCUCCAUGUUUUUGUGUUGGCUAACCAGGGAUAUGAGCUAUUCAAACACCACCACAAAAAUAGUAAUGUAAAGGGUGAUGAGUAUGUUUUCCUUAGAUACACACCGUGAGAGCAAACAAAUCCAUAUGCCAACACCCAACUGGGAGUCCCCACUUGCUGGUUCUUCCCUGUGGGCUGUGCUACAAACCCAGACAAGUUCGUUUUGCUGUGCCCACACUAUGCACACCCACACAGCACAGCUCACAUCUAUGCAGAAGGACAGCCAAAAAGGAUGCUUCUAAGGAUUUGAGGCUCAGAAUGGCUGAAACUGAAACGGUGCAACAGGAUAUCAGGGAAACAACAAAUUUCACUGAAAAACAUAUACUCCAGUCUAAAAAAAAGAAAAAACUAUAGGAAAGGAACUGGCCUUCUUCCUUUUGUUCUGCUCCUUUAGUUUAAAAACAGGGUAAGUUGAGGGGAGAUGGGCAAUUAUACCACUACACUGUAGUUUACAUUUCUUAACAGUGCAUAUGUAAAAAUUGUUGGAAUGUUGCAUUUCAAUGCAAUAUUUAAAUUGCUGCCGUAGCCCAUGAAUGCCCUACUACACAGAGGGGAGAAAAGGCUGCAGCUCAGUGGGAAUUUCUCAUCAGAUAGUAAAGGUGCUUGUAUGGGCUGAAUAGAUUAAAUCACAGCCAUUGCCCUAAACAUGGAGCUAUAGAGACCCCCUUAUCGCUGCUCCUCCUUCCUGCCCUGCCCUUUCUUCCCCAUGUUCCCCCCAGCAUGCUGCUGGAGGAGGAAGCAUCAGGCUGCACCCCUCGGAUGGACACCAGCUCCUAAAACAAUCCCUGCCCAUUGUAUCUGUUAUCUCCCUUGCAUUUGUUAUCUCAUAUGCUCCUGGGCUGCAUUGUCCCAUAGGAAGGGGACCUGGGGGCUAUUUUCCAGCUCUCAUUGCAGCACAGAAUCCUGCACAGGUACAUAGGGAUGUGCUUGGAGUGGGCAAGGUGAGAUCCUCAGGAAGAACCCAGCUCACAGGUGGGUCACCAGCACACACUCAUUUUGGGGCCCUUUGGGUUCAGGGAGCUCAGGGCUGAGGAAUGACUGAAAAAUACACCUGAAAAGGCGUUUCUUUGCCCACGGGGAGGACUUCAUCACUGUGUUUCUCAGUGAGUGCACACAAAAUCAUUCUUUUACCCAGCAACCUGACGGUAUUGAAUUCACCUGCACCACCAGUAUGAAAGUAAACACAUCAAGGGGAAACCUGGGUGUUUCUGCUACAAGUUCUUAUAGGGAACGUAAAGAAGCAAAAAGGACAGACUUCAGGGAGGAAUAAGCGGGCAGCCAACCCCUGUUAUCUCCACAUGAUAAAGCAAAAUAUGCAGGAGUGCUCCCAUCUGAAAUCCCUUCUCCGGCUGUGGGUGAGGAGCAGCGGUACUCCAGGAUGGGGAGGAGGAGGUGGGCACAGAGCCAUCCCAGGGGGCCACGUCCUCCCGUCCCAUUAAGCCCGCGGGCAGCUCAGGCUGCGGGAGCAGGCGGGGAGGGAGAUGAAAGGCUCCUGGAAGGAAUCAGGUGCAGGGGGUGGGCAGAUGCUGCUAAAGAGCAAAGGGAUGCGGCCAGGCUCAUUUGUCUGGAAGGGAACCAGCAGGAACUUUCUUUUUAUCUCCAAUUGCGGAUGUUAGGGCCGUUCCUAAAGGCCACAGCCAGUUGGGACCCCACCACUUUCCAUCCAUAAUGGGGAGGGAAACUGCAAUGCAUUUUUUCCCACACCCAUGAUGGGACCCAGCCGGGCUCUGCCUCCCCCAGCCCAAACUGUGCUCCGUCCGUCUGUCCCACAAUGAGUUGAACACAUCCCCACGUUCCUGGCCCUCUCCUCCUGCCCUGCCUGGGGAUUAGCCACGCUCCACCUCAUCUGAGUGCGACUUAGCAGGGCAACCCUUUGCCAGGCAGGCGGAGCAGGGCAUGGCCCCGUCUGUCUGUCCGUCUGUCUGUCCGUCCAUCCGUCUGUCCGUCUGUCUGCCCGGGGAUUAGCUCAACCCCACCUGGGCUGCCUCUGGCUCCUCUCACCGGGAUCUCCUGGACCAUGUGUGCCUCUAGUCUGCAUCGGCUGGCAGGUGGCAGCUGUCUGUCCGUCUGUCUGUCUGGGGGAGACGGACGGGUGCUGCUAUGCCCAUCCCACCACUAUGCCUGUUUGACUGGGAGAGAUGGACAGACACAAGUGCCCAUCCUAUCACCACGCCUGUCUGUCCAGGAGGGGAAGCCAUACGCCUCCACGUCCAUCUGUCUGACCGUGCCUUAUACUGCCAUGCCUAUCCAUAAGGAGAUAUUCAGCACAGCCCUGUCUGUUUGCCUGUCUGUACCAUACACUGCCAUGCCUAUCAAUGAGAGGACACUGGGCACAGCCCUGUCCGACUGCCCAUCCAUAAGGGCAACUACCCACUGCCAUGCCUGUGAGGGCUGCUGGGCACAGCCUUGUCCUCUGCCUGGCACUAAGGUCUGGUGUAGGCAGCCCUGGGCACCAGCACAGUCCCCCCUCCCAGCCCCAGGCACAGAUUAAACCUGAGAUUAGGGCCGGGGACUGCUUGGGCACUGCAAACAGCACAGAGCUUACAUUGUACACCCGAUGUCACAACGGGCAGGGACAUAAAUAUCAAUAAAAUACACCUAAAAAAGCCUAUUUUCACCCAUACGAUGAGGCAGAGCUGGACUCCUCCUCCACCCUGGCCAUGCUGGAAACCCACCUCUUACCCCAAAAAACUCAGCGUGAACCCCCUGGGCUGCUGGAUGGGACAUUCGAUGCUGGGGGUGCUCAAUGCAGGACAAAGCUUCUCAGGGAAGGUGCCUGCGGGGAUGGUGCUGGUGGGAGACCAGGGAGAUUCCCUGCUGUUUGAGAGAAGGGAAUUGACCAUUAGGGCUUUUUUCUUUUUCUUUUUUUUUUCCCCACUUUUCCUUUCUUUUUCUUUUUUUUUUUCCCUUUAUUUCUUUCCCCCUUUCCCCAUUUUUUCUUUGCCUUUGCCUCUUUUCUCUCCUUUUAAAAUUCUUCUUUAUUCCUUUUUUAUAUUUUUUCUUUUUCCCUUUUUUUACCCCUUUUUCUUUUUUCUUUCUUCUUUUUCUUUUUUUCUCCUUUUCCCAUUCUUAUUUUUUUCCUCUUUUUUUCUUUUUCUUUUUUACUUUCUUCUUUUUCUUUUUCCCUUUUCCCCUUUUUCUGUUUUAUUCUUUUUCUUUUUUUCCAUUUUCCCUUUUCCCAUUUUUCCCCUUUUUCUCCCCUUUUCCCUUUUCCCCCUUUUUUCCCUUUUCCCCCUUUUUUUCCUUUUUCCCCCUAUUUCUUUUCUUUUCUUUUCUUUUCUUUUCUUUUCUUUUCUUUUCUUUUCUUUUCUUUUCUUUUCUUUUCUUUUCUUUUCUUUUCUUUUCUUUUCUUUUCUUUUCUUUUCUU
ensembl:lncRNA